GCCGGGUGUGGUGGCUCACGCCUGUAAUCCAAGCACUCUGGAGGCCAAGGCGGGUGGAUCACCUGAGGUCGGGAGUUCAAGACCAGCCUGACCAACAUGGUGAAACCCCGUCUUAA
ensembl:misc_RNA Metazoa_SRP Metazoan signal recognition particle RNA